rnacentral:rRNA from 1 species
GUCGGUAAAACUCGUGCCAGCCACCGCGGUUAUACGAGAGGCCCGAGUUGAUAGAUGACGGCGUAAAGGGUGGUUAGGGGUUAACAUUAAUUAAAGCCAAAGACCUACCGAGCUGUCAUACGCACCCGAAGGCACGAAGCCCAAAUACGAAAGCAGCUUUAUCUCCCCCCGACCCCACGAAAGCUAAGGAACAAACUGGGAUUAGAUACCCCACUAUGA